rnacentral:rRNA from 1 species
GAUGAACGCUGGCGGCGUGCUUAACACAUGCAAGUCGAGCGAAUAGACGAGGAGCUUGCUCCGCUGUCGUUAGCGGCGGACGGGCGAGUGACUUGUGAAUAACCCACAUAUAAUACUGCGAUAUCUGCGAAAAACCGGAGCUAAUAGCGUAUAAUAUAUUGAACCGCAUUGGUCUAUAGUGAAUGACGGUUUUGCUGUAACUAAUAGAUGGAUCCGCGCCGCAUUAGCUAGUUGGUAAGGUAACGGGUUACGAAGGCAAAGAUGCGUAGCCGACCUGAGAGGGUGAUAGGCCACACUGGAACUGAGACACGGACCAGAGUCCUAGGGGAAGCAGCAGUAGGGACACUUCAGCAAUGGGCGAAAGAUUGACGGAGCAACGCCGCGUGAGUGAUGGAGGCGUUCUGAGUGUAAAACUCUGUUUUUAGGAAGGAACAGAUGUCUAAGUUACUAUGCACGUCUUGACGGUACCUAAUCAGGAAGCCACGGCUAACUACGUG